UGCUGCUGCCUCUUGCACCAACACGAACUAUUCUUUCGCCUUUUACUAAAGAAUACCGUGUGCUCGCAGCUCAAGGCAGCAUACGCCUAUUUUUGGAGGCUUAAUUCCUUUAUUGGAGU
rnacentral:snRNA from 1 species